AUUGAACGCUGGCGGCAUGCCUUACACAUGCAAGUCGAACGGUAACAGGUCUUCGGAUGCUGACGAGUGGCGAACGGGUGAGUAAUACAUCGGAACGUGCCUAGUAGUGGGGGAUAACUACUCGAAAGAGUGGCUAAUACCGCAUGAGAUCUACGGAUGAAAGCAGGGGAUCGCAAGACCUUGUGCUACUAGAGCGGCCGAUGGCAGAUUAGGUAGUUGGUGGGGUAAAAGCUUACCAAGCCGACGAUCUGUAGCUGGUCUGAGAGGACGAUCAGCCACACUGGGACUGAGACACGGCCCAGACUCCUACGGGAGGCAGCAGUGGGGAAUUUUGGACAAUGGGGGCAACCCUGAUCCAGCAAUGCCGCGUGAGUGAAGAAGGCCUUCGGGUUGUAAAGCUCUUUUGUCAGGGAAGAAACGGCUGUGGCUAAUAUCCACGGCUAAUGACGGUACCUGUAGAAUAAGCACCGGCUAACUACGUGCCAGCCGCCGCCGUAA
rnacentral:rRNA from 1 species